rnacentral:rRNA from 1 species
UACGUAGGGUGCGAGCGUUAAUCGGAAUUACUGGGCGUAAAGCGUGCGCAGGUGGUCUUUUAAGUCAGAUGUGAAAUCCCCGGGCUUAACCUGGGAAUGGCGUUUGAAACUGGAAGGCUAGAGUGUGGCAGAGGGGGGUGGAAUUCCACGUGUAGCAGUGAAAUGCGUAGAGAUGUGGAGGAACACCGAUGGCGAAGGCAGCCCCCUGGGUUAACACUGACGCUCAGGCACGAAAGCGUGGGGAGCAAACAGG